rnacentral:rRNA from 1 species
UACGUAGGGUCCGAGCGUUGUCCGGAAUUACUGGGCGUAAAGAGCUCGUAGGUGGUUUGUCACGUUGUUCGUGAAAACCCACAGCUCAACUGUGGGCGUGCGAGCGAUACGGGCAGACUAGAGUACUGCAGGGGAGACUGGAAUUCCUGGUGUAGCGGUGGAAUGCGCAGAUAUCAGGAGGAACACCAAUAGCGAAGGCAGCUCGCUGGGACGGUAUUGACGCUAAGGCGCGAAAGCGUGGGGAGCGAACAGG